rnacentral:lncRNA from 1 species
UUUCACACUAAUUGGACCAUAGUUAACACCUGAGUGCUCAUUUCGAGCUGUCAUGCCAAGUCAAACUAUUUAAUCCAGUGCCGGAGUUACCCGUUCUCGCAAAUUAUGGAUAUUACGUGAUAAUUCAUUUGUAUAUUUGUUAUAUUUUCAACAACCAUAAGCAAAAGCAGAAUGGCGUCUGCAGAAGCCUCGCGGAUAUCAUGGAAAUAAGGAACGGCACUCAUGAGAUGGGAUGUCAUCCGGCCCAGUGAUCUGCCGACGGAGAGACAAAUUCUGAUGGCAGGCUUAUGGCCACGGUGCCUUGGUGGAGGAAAAAGGUGAAGCCUCAGCUGUCCAAAGCCCAUCACAUCCGACAGCUGCUAAGCGGCCCGGAUGACUUUGAAACAAGGAGGAAUUACCUGCUGGAACGCUGAUAAAGCAGAACUCAAAAGAAGAUGGCAGAAUGACAGUCUGAGUCUCCAUUCACCUUCACUGCACCUUCUUUUAAAAACUAACAGUGACUGAGACUGCAAAUCUGCCACAUCUCUCUCUCUCUGUCACAGUGAAUUCAGACCGCCGUACGCUUUGAAAUGACUCCAUGAUGUGUAAAUGAUGACGCCAUUCAAGUUUAUAGGUCAGCUAUUCUUUUAAGUGAUUGAUAUGAUAUGCUUUUUGCCUGGAUUUUAUUUGGUUUGCAUAAUGAUGAACGCUGUUCACGCUGGCGUAUUCAUUGUGCAGCUCAUAGUCUAUCCUCAGAUGACUAGAUAAGAGAUAAUGUGCAUUUCGCACAGAUAAGAAAACAGCUUUGAGUCGUGAUAGAAAAACAGCCUCUCAUCCUGACUUCAUUAAUAUUCCGCUAUCAGAUACUGAUCUGACUUUAUAUUGCUAUCACUAAAAUUAGUGUGCUAUAGUUGUCAAAUACAACGCGCACAUUUUUUUUUUAAAGCAUGCUUUUUUACCCUUUAAUAUGUUGUGUAAUUGUACAGUAUUUUACAGUCUGCAGAGUUUUAAAGUACAUUUUCCUUCCCAAAGCAAGUGUGAAGUGCUUGAAAUGAGACAUUAAUAAUUCCUAUUAGGGUUGCACAAUAUUGGACAUAAAGCUGACAUUGGAAUUUACACGUACCGGCCACUUUAUUAGGUACACUUGUCCAACUGCUCAUUAACGCAAAUUUCUUAACAGCCAAUCAGAUAGCAGCAGCUCAACGCAUUAGGACUCAACGGCUAAGGGGUAGAAUUGGGAUUGGGCCUUAAUGUGGCAUAGUUGUUGGUGCCAGACGGGCUGAUCUGAGUAUUUCAGAAACUGCUGAUCUACUGGGAUUUUUA